GGUUGAAACUCAAAGGAAUUGACGGGGGCCCGCACAAGCGGUGGAUGAUGUGGUUUAAUUCGAUGCAACGCGAAAAACCUUACCCACCUUUGACAUGUAUGGAAGUUUCCAGAGAUGGAUUCGUGCUCGAAAGAGAGCCAUAACACAGGUGCUGCAUGGCUGUCGUCAGCUCGUGUCGUGAGAUGUUGGGUUAAGUCCCGCAACGAGCGCAACCCUUGUCAUUAGUUGCUACAUUUAGUUGGGCACUCUAAUGAGACUGCCGGUGACAAACCGGAGGAAGGUGGGGAUGACGUCAAGUCCUCAUGGCCCUUAUAGGUGGGGCUACACACGUCAUACAAUGGCCGGUACAAAGGGUCGCAAACCCGCGAGGGGGAGCUAAUCCAUCAAAGCCGGUCGUAGUCCGGAUCGCAGUCUGCAACUCGACUGCGUGAAGUCGGAAUCGCUAGUAAUCGUGGAUCAGAAUGUCACGGUGAAUACGUUCCCGGGUCUUGUACACACUGCCCGUCACACCAUGGGAGCGGGUCUCGCCAGAAGUAGGUAGCCUAACCGCAAGGAGGGCGCUUACCACGGCGGGGUUCGUGACUGGGGUGAAGUCGUAACAAGGU
rnacentral:rRNA from 1 species